rnacentral:rRNA from 1 species
UACGUAGGGGCUAGCGUUGUCCGGAAUCAUUGGGCGUAAAGAGCGUGUAGGCGGCCGGUAAGUCCGCUGUAAAAGUCAAAGGCUCAACCUUUGAAUGUCAGUGAUACUGCCGGGCUAGAGUCCGGAAGAGGCGAGUGGAACUCCUGGUGUAGCGGUGGAAUGCGCAGAUAUCAGGAAGAACACCAACGGCGAAGGCAGCUCGCUGGGACGGUACUGACGCUGAGACGCGAAAGCGUGGGGGGAGCGAACAGG